UACAGAGACCUCAAGCGUUAUCCGGAAUCAUUGGGCGUAAAGCGUACCGAUAGGUGGUUAUACAAGUCAGAUGUGAAAUCUCCGAGCUCAACUCGGAAUCUGUCAUUUGAAACUGUAUGACUAGAGGGGCAAAGAGGAAGCUAGAACGAACGGUGUAGUAGUGAAAUGCGUUGAUAUCGUUCGGAAUACCGAUAGCGAAGGCAGGCUUCUGGGUGCCACCUGACACUGCUAGGACGAAAGCGUGGGGAGCGAAUGGG
rnacentral:rRNA from 1 species